GACGAACGCUGGCGGCGUGCCUAAUACAUGCAAGUCGAACGCACAGUUUAUACCGUAGCUUGCUACACCAUAGACUGUGAGUUGCGAACGGCUUAGUAACGCGUAGGUUACCUGCCUGGUAGCGGGGGAUAACUAUUGCAAACGCUAGCUAAUACCUCCUAAUAUUUAUUAUUGCAUGUUAAUUUAUUGCAAUGUGCAAUUGCCCCACUACCUGAUGGCCUUGCGUUGUAUUAGCUAGUAGGUGAGGUUACGGCUCACCUAGGCGACGAAACAUAGCCGACAUGAGAGGGUGAUCAGCCACACUGGGAGUGAGACACGGCACAGAGGCAUACGGGAGGCAGCAGUAGGGAAUCGUCGGCAAUGGGCGAAGGUCUGAGCGAGCAACGCCGCGGGAGUGAGGAAGGUUUUCGGAUCGGAAAGCUCGGUUGUAAGGGAAGAACGGGUGUGAGAGUGGAAAGUUGACACUGUGACGGUAUCUUACCAGAAAGGAACGGCUAACUACGU
rnacentral:rRNA from 1 species